rnacentral:misc_RNA from 1 species
GAACUCUUCUAGUCCUGCAACCCUGCACCUGGGUGUUAGGGGAAUGGGGUAAGGUUACACAAGCUCAGUGGAUAAACUAACUAUCAUUACUUUUAUCAUUCAUUUAUAUAUGUGCACUGCAUCAUCCACAUGAAUUUUUACAUUACAAACAUUUCACGUAAGAUGGACAUUAUUACUAAUAACUCUCCAAACUUUGCUUUUAAACAUGACCUAUGUCAUGUACCCAGGGGCAACUAUCAGAUCUCCCUUGAAGGGCAAUGUCAAGAUCUCCCCUUAGGAUUUAUUUAUAGAUCCAUAACAUACGAAAUGUUACAUAACAUAACAUGGGAGGAGUAAUGGGUCAUCUAAUAUCCAUUAAUGUACUAACAAUAAUUUAUGCAAAUAUGCAACAUCUUCGUAUUCUAGAUACAUACAUCCUAAAUA